GCUUGUCUCAAAGAUUAAGCCAUGCAUGUCUUAGUGUAAAUAACUCUUAUGAAACUGCGAAUGGCUCAUUAUAUCAGUUAUAGUUUCUUUGAUGGUUCUUACUACUUGGAUAACCGUAGUAAUUCUAGAGCUAAUACAUGCAUGAACCCCCGACUUUUGAAGGGGUGUAUUUAUUAGAUGGAAACCAAUGCGGGGCAACCCGGUAUAUGGUGAUUCAUAAUAACUUUCGGAUCGAUCUUCGGAUCGAUGCAUCAUUCAAGUUUCUGCCCUAUCAGCUUUGGAUGGUAGGGUAUUGGCCUACCAUGGCUUUAACGGGUAACGGAGAAUUAGGGUUCGAUUCCGGAGAGGGAGCCUGAGAAAUGGCUACCACAUCCAAGGAAGGCAGCAGG
rnacentral:rRNA from 1 species